UGUUAGCGGCGGACGGGUGAGUAACACGUGGGUAACCUACCUAUAAGACUGGGAUAACUCCGGGAAACCCGGGGGCUAAUACCGGAUAAUAUUUUGAACCGCAUGGUUCGAUAGUGAAAGACGGUUUCGGCUGUCACUUAUAGAUGGACCCGCGCCGUAUUAGCUAGUUGGUAAGGUAACGGCUUACCAAGGCGACGAUACGUAGCCGACCUGAGAGGGUGAUCGGCCACACUGGAACUGAGACACGGUCCAGACUCCUACGGGAGGCAGCAGAG
rnacentral:rRNA from 1 species